rnacentral:rRNA from 1 species
AACGAACGCUGGCGGCGUGUCUUAAGCAUGCAAGUCGAGCGGCAAGGCGGGGCAACCCGCCCUAGAGCGGCGGACUGGUGAGUAACGCGUGGGUGAUCUGCCCUUGGGUUGGGGAUAGCCAUUAGAAAUAGUGGGUAAUACCGAAUACGUUCCCUCGAUUGCGGUCGGGGGAGGAAAGGCGCUACGGCGCCGCCUUAGGAUGAGCCCGCGUCCCAUUAGCUAGUUGGUGAGGUAAUGGCCCACCAAGGCGAUGAUGGGUAGCCGGCCUGAGAGGGUGUACGGCCACACUGGGACUGAGAUACGGCCCAGACUCCUACGGUUGGCUG